GAAAAAUUCAUCCUUUCUGGCUUUAACCCUGUAGCUCAGAAGCUUCUGGAUUUAAGAAAGGAAGACGUCCUGAAGUAUGUUUCUUCCCUGUAGAAACUAUGUUUAUGUGAUCACAGAUAUGAUUUAUACUGAUUGCUGCCUGUGAGAAGCCAAGCACGUCCAGCUUCCUUGAAUUAAGUUAUGUCCUGAGAAGAAUCAAAUACAGAAAUGGAAAAAGAAUCUGAUUGGUAAAGAAAGGUACAUCAUAGAUAGGUCAGGGAUAAAAUGAGAUUGGUAUUAUAAGUCAAGAUGAGUUUAACCUUACAAAGGAAACUAAAGCAAAUAGUAUUUUCUUUUCAUAUAUAUAUGAAAAGGCAACAAGAGAAGAGCAAGUGAAGGUAUUGAGGAGGACAACUGGGCCAAGGCUAAAGAUACUCAGGACAGAAAAAGGUCAAAGGGAUGUGAUGCAGUAUCAGUAGGUCUCUAGGAGAAAAGAAGAGGAAUUUUCCCGGAGAUGCUUGCACUGGUUGAAAAGAAAAUCCAGGAAAUGGAAUUGGCAGCACUGUAAUUUGAUGAGGGAAGAGCCUGGGUUUGUCAAUGACUAAUAGUGGCAUAACAGCUACUAAUUUGUUGAAGUUGAACCUGAAGUGACCUUAUUUAUAUUUGAAACAUGCUUUUUCAGAAAAAAAAUAUGAAAGGAAAACUGCAAAAUUAUAAAUGUGUAGUUAAAUAAUAGCUAGAACUCAGUAUAGCCAGGAUUUGAUUUGAGAGGUAGUAUGGUAUACUGGGGUCCUGUAAUGAAGUAUAAAAUGUACACAUAUAUGUAGACAUGAGCCAUCCAGAUUUCUGGAAGACACCAAAAUAAAUAAAUAAUUCACCACUACUUUCCUUUGAAA
rnacentral:lncRNA from 1 species